rnacentral:lncRNA from 1 species
CUUGUGAGCAUGCUCACUGAAGCAGGGGGGUGCAGUACAGAACAUUCCUGAAGCAGAGGGGCAGAGCUUAACAGAACCUUCUCAUGCGGGGACAGAGCUUAACAGAGCAUUUCUGAAAGAUCACACAGUUCAAACAGUCACAAACCAUUUUGAUACAUUGGGCGGGAGCCCAGCAACCCAAACUUACAUUUCCAAAACAACAUUCUGUGGGAAAAAAAUGGAGGCAAGGCAAGGGCCUAUCUUAUUGUGUAGCACUUCUCUAUCACCACCUGCCUCACAAGUGCAAGCUCCUCAGUUUGAUCCCUAGUACCAAAAAAAAAAAAAAAAAGACUUAAGAUCCUGGCUUCAAUCCCCAGUACUGGGGAAAAAAAGGAAAAGAAAAAGAAAACAAAAGAAUUGAGCUGAACAACACUAUACACCACCCAGCUCUAACAGAUAUCAAUAGAACCCUGGACCCAGCAACCACAGAAUACACAUUUUUCUCAAGCUCACAUGGAAAUAUUCUCCAGGGAAGAUCUUAUGGAUCGAAUUCAGGACCUUGCACUCUCCCAGGCGCAGGCACCACUGAGCUAAAUCCCGGGCCCCCAUAGACUUCCCAACUGCAGCACUGACAUCUAAAAGACAAGAGAGCAAUGCCUUCAAAAUCUGAAGAAACUCCACUCCGCCCAAAGGAACCCAAACAAGGGCUCCAAAAGAUGGCUGCACAGUUCACCGCAAAGGUCACUCACAAAAGCCAAAAGAGCCAAGGAUGGAGCUCAGCAGCACUGCACCUGUCUGGCAAGCACAAG